CUGGAGUUGCCAAAGAUGUGCGAAGGAGUCUGAGGUAACUGCAGUGAGUUUUUAAGACGUCCAUCGCACCGUGAAUCUUUUCGCGGCCCGAACACGGGAGAGAACGCUGAGCGUUACAAC
rfam:Corynebacterium kutscheri strain DSM 20755, complete genome.